UCAGCGGAUGAGAGGAGCUUGCUCCUGGAUUCUGCGGCGGACGGGUGAGUAAUGCCUAUGAAUCUGCCUGGUAGUGGGGGACAACGUUUCGAAAGGAACGCUAAUACCGCAUACAUCCUACGGGAGAAAGCAGGGGACCUUCAGGCCUUGCGCUAUCAGAUGAGCCUAGGUCGGAUUAGCUAUUUGGUGAGGUAAUGGCUCACCAAGGCGACGAUCCGUAACUGGUCUGAGAGGAUGAUCAGUCACACUGGAACUGAGACACGGUCCAGACUCCUACGGGAGGCAGCAGUGGGGAAUAUUGGACAAUGGGCGAAAGCCUGAUCCAGCCAUGCCGCGUGUGUGAAGAAGGUCUUCGGAUUGUAAAGCACUUUAAGUUGGGAGGAAGGGCAGUAUAUUAAUACUUUGCUGUUUUGACGUUACCGACAGAAUAAGCACCGGCUAACUCUGUGCCAGCAGCCGCGGUAAUACAGAGGGUGCAGGCGUUAAUCGGAAUUACUGGGCGUAAAGCGCGCGUAGGUGGUUCGUUAAGUUGGAUGUGAAAUCCCCGGGCUCAACCUGGGAACUGCAUUCAAAACUGUCGAGCUAGAGUAUGGUAGAGGGUGGUGGAAUUUCCUGUGUAGCGGUGAAAUGCGUAUAUAUAGGAAGGAACACCAGUGGCGAACGCGACCACCUGGACUGAUACUGACACUGAGGUGCGAAAGCGUGGGGAGCAAACUGAUUAGAUACCCUGGUAGUCCACGCCGUAGACGAUGUCUACUAGCCGUUGGGAGCCUUGAGCUCUUAGUGGCGCACCUACGCAUUA
rnacentral:rRNA from 2 species